rnacentral:rRNA from 1 species
GACGAACGCUGGCGGCGUGCUUAACACAUGCAAGUCGAACGGAAAGGCCCUGCUUUUGUGGGGUGCUCGAGUGGCGAACGGGUGAGUAACACGUGAGUAACCUGCCCUUGACUUUGGGAUGACUUCAGGAAACUGGGGCUAAUACCGGAUAGGAGCUCCUGCUGCAUGGUGGGGGUUGGAAAGUUUCGGCGGUUGGGGAUGGACUCGCGGCUUAUCAGCUUGUUGGUGGGGUAGUGGCUUACCAAGGCUUUGACGGGUAGCCGGCCUGAGAGGGUGACCGGCCACAUUGGGACUGAGAUACGGCCCAGACUCCUACGGGAGGCAGCAGUGGGGAAUAUUGCACAAUGGGCGGAAGCCUGAUGCAGCAACGCCGCGUGCGGGAUGACGGCCUUCGGGUUGUAAACCGCCUUCGCCUGUGACGAAGCGUGAGUGACGGUAAUGGGUAAAGAAGCACCGGCUAACUACGUG